rnacentral:rRNA from 1 species
CGGAGGGAUCAUUACACAACAAAAUAUGAAGGCCUGGCUUUCGCGGCCGGCUGAAGUAUUUUUUUCACCCAUGUCUUUUGCGCACUUGUUGUUUCCUGGGCGGGUUCGCCCGCCACCAGGACCAAACCAUAAACCUUUUUUUCUUAUGCAGUUUCCAUCAGCGUCAGUAAAAACAAUGUAAUUAUUACAACUUUCAACAACGGAUCUCUUGGUUCUGGCAUCGAUGAAGAACGCAGCGAAAUGCGAUACGUAGUGUGAAUUGCAGAAUUCAGUGAAUCAUCGAAUCUUUGAACGCACAUUGCGCCCUUUGGUAUUCCAAAGGGCAUGCCUGUUCGAGCGUCAUUUGUACCUUCAAGCUUUGCUUGGUGUUGGGCGUUUUUUUGUCUCCCUCUUUCUGGGAGACUCGCCUUAAAACGAUUGGCAGCCGGCCUACUGGUUUCGGAGCGCAGCACAUUUUUUGCGCUUUGUAUCAGGAGAAAAGGACGGUACUCCAUCAAGACUCUACAUUUUUCACUUUUGACCUCGGAUCAGGUAGGGAUACCCGCUGAACUUAAGCAUAUC